rnacentral:tRNA from 1 species
ACUUAAAUAGCUUAAUUUUAGAGCGCGACUUUGAAGGUGUCGAAGUAACAAUUUUUGGUUUUUAGGUA